rnacentral:tRNA from 1 species
GGCCUUGUCGACGAAAUGGCAAAGUCGCCACCCUCUCAAGGUGGAGGUUGAUGGGUUCGAAUCCCUCCAAGGUCA